UGGGGAAUAUUGCACAAUGGGCGCAAGCCUGAUGCAGCAACGUCGCGUGAGGGACGACGGCCUUCGGGUUGUAAACCUCUUUUGGCAGGGAAGAAGCGAAAGUGGCGGUACCUGCAGAAAAAGCACCGGCUAACUACGUGCCAGCAGCCGCGGUGAUACGUAGGGUGCAAGCGUUGUCCGGAAUUAUUGGGCGUAAAGAGCUCGUAGGCGGUUUGUCGCGUCUGCUGUGAAAACCCGAGGCUCAACCUCGGGCCUGCAGUGGGUACGGGCAAACUAGAGUGCGGUAGGGGAGAUUGGAAUUCCUGGUGUAGCGGUGGAAUGCGCAGAUAUCAGGAGGAACACCGAUGGCGAAGGCAGAUCUCUGAGCCGUAACUGACGCUGAGGAGCGAAAGCAUGGGGAGCGAACA
rnacentral:rRNA from 1 species